UACGUAGGGUGCAAGCGUUGUCCGGAAUUAUUGGGCGUAAAGAGCUCGUAGGCGGUUUGUCGCGUCUGCUGUGAAAACGCGAGGCUCAACCUCGCGCCUGCAGUGGGUACGGGCAGACUGGAGUGCGGUAGGGGAGAACGGAAUUCCUGGUGUAGCGGUGAAAUGCGCAGAUAUCAGGAGGAACACCGGUGGCGAAGGCGCACUCUGGGACGUGACUGACGCUGAGACGCGAAAGCGUGGGGAGCAAACAGG
rnacentral:rRNA from 1 species